rnacentral:lncRNA from 1 species
GGCCUACGAAGUUGGUAGGCCCACGGAUUGGCCAAGUGAUCCUCGGCUGGGCAGGCAGUGUGCGAGGAUGAGGAGCACGCCCGUGCACAGUUACACGGCCAGGAGGCGCCACAGUGUCAGUGGUAGGCCUACGGCUACGGUUGGCCUACGGAUGAAGGAAGCUGGCAGACGGUGCGGGCCAAUUGUCUGGAAGACGCGGGAG